AAGGCAAAAGAAAAUCUCUUUUGUCACUGUGAUAGGAAUUACAUGGGCACACAGGCAAUCAUUCUAUACCGCAUGAUUGUACUAGGGUCUUUGCAGUCUACGUUUUGAAAAGGAAACUGCUUUAACACCUGAAACACUGUAUCUUUUGCUAGAACUUGUGAUGGUGGUUAACCACUGAAGUGUGCGUAUAAACACUUGUACUUUUCCUCAAAUCCCACUAUCUGGCAAUUUUCCAGAGUACUCUGGGCCUCAUUUCAUGCUGCUUUAGCUCCUCUGAGAGUUCAGAGGUAGCAGCUUGUAAGUAAACAAAAUCCCUGAUUUUUUCUACCCUAUUGAGAAGCUCCCUGGGAACACAAGCCUGUCUCAUAAUAAGCACAUUUAUCCUAUAAUCCAGUAAAAAAAAACAGUAAAUAUGAAUAUUGCUUUCCUAUGAGCCCAUCAUAGUUUACUGUGUCCCCAUCCACCUUCAGUCAUGUAUGGGGUGGUAGGGGUUUGAACCACAGAUGGUACCUUUUGGCAGAGUUUCCUUAGCUUACACUGCCAUGCUGGCUCGUCUAUGUUCUUUGGGGUAGAACAGAAAGGGUCCAACCAGGAUGCAAGCACUCCUUUUAAUGCCCUGACUUAGACUUUUGUGCCUGCUGGCACUUUUGAAGCUGAAUGGACUCACAGGUUCAUACUCAUCAAAGGCUAUAGAUGGACAAGGCAAGAUGUUAAUUCUAGCAGCUUCUUACAUCACCUUUUGCAAAUACCCGCUUAGCCACCAUGUAAACCUGUAGUCUCCAAAGGCCCACUGUCCUCUCUGCAUUUAACAUCAAAGUAUUCCAGGUCCCUCAAACCUUCUUUGCGUGCCUAGAAGUACUGCUACUUUAUACUUAUAUCUUAAAAGAAAAUUAUACAAAAAUUGUAUGAAUGUCCCUGAUAAAAUUUUAAUUUACUCGUGUUUCCUAAAGGUGAACUGUGACAGAGCAGUAGAGCUCAGUGCACAGAACUCUGAUUUUCUUGCUCCUAGGACUGCACGUAUCUAACUGGACAUAAAUGCACUUUUUAAUAGAAAUCUCUGCAGUUGUCAGAGUAGGAAUCCAGACCGGCUCUUCUCCUGUGCUGAGUAGUUUUGUUCAGUUUCUCUAGACUAUUAACGUAUACUCAGGACCACAGGCUUUGCUUAGGGAGUAGGCAUCUAGGAGCAGGGAGUUAUUUUGCUUCCACAGCGCAGGACUGUAGGUCUUUGCGUGACUUCUUGAAUGUUUUUUUGAAAUGUUAAAGCUGAAAGGAGAAAAUGGUGUUAUUAUCAAGGGAAGGGAAGAUCACACUUUUCCUAUCACUGUGUAUCUGAUUGCCUGCUCUCUUCUUCCUCUGCCCUGCCCAGACUAUGAAUAGGAGGUGUUUCCUGCAGGCCAGCUACAGCAUCGCUAUUAGAAAGCCUCAGCCACAAGUGAAGAAUACAGGCCAGACUGAAAGCAAUGACUUGCUGGUGACUGAUCUCAGCUGAUGGGGGAAAAAAUGACUCCUCAGUGAACUGGGCUAGCUCCCAGAAAAAGAAUCCAUUGCUUUGGAAAAGAGAUUAAUGAAGUACAUUCAGCAGAUCUGCUGGCCACUGGACAGCAGUUUGUACUGCAGCCACCGGAUGAGGCAUUUUGUUGUGUCACUGGAUUAUUUAUAUCUUCCGUUGACUAGCACAUUGGUUUCCCUAAAACAGACGUGCUUCUCUUCCUGUUACCGCCCAUGCAGCAGGCUUGGAAGGCAUAGAGAAAAGUGGGACUGCAAGUUUAGCGCAAGACUAAACUUUCUCAGAUGUGGAUGUUGCCUUGCAAGUUUGGAAAACAAAUCAAAAUACUGUAUGGAUCAUUGAACAGUUGGAAUGGAGUAAUCUUCCUUCUCUGCUGAUCUGUGACACAAGGUCAGUGUUUGUCUCUCCAAGGGUAACUUGUACCAACUGGAGAGCACGUAUAUGGAAUCUUGGUGACAUACACAUCUGCUACAAAAAGGAGACGUUAAUCAUCACUUCAUUGAGGUACAGCUGAGUUCUAUUCAUCCUUGAAAAACAAAACAAAAAAUUGCUAACCAAUGGUAAUCACAGACCUGCUGUAGCUAUUAACACACAAUCUUCACUUGGAGAUACAAUGUUUCUGUCUCUGUGUACUUGAUUAUGUAGGUGCACAACUCCAUGUGACGUCAGCAGAUCAGUGGGCUGAAGCAGAUGAAUCACCACCUGAUGUAUCAACAUUAUUGAUGGUUUUGGUAUUUUAUUUUGGAUUAGACUUAAUCUGUUUCCCUGACAUCUCAUACAUUGUCUUGAAGGACCACUCACCAGUUCAGUCCUUUUCUCUCUCCACUAUGGACUGGGGUGAGCUGUGUAGAGAGAGGAACUUUGCAUAGAGAGUCUGGUUUGAAUGUGCUAAGGCUACUCUCCAAACCGUACUGCUGGGUGGUAAAAUGAAACACUCAGGACAACACUGUACUGCUGCUCUGAACCAGACCAGUAAUGUGAGCACAACCUAGUGACCUCGUGUUUUGGGGUCAAACACUUCUGGUAUCUUAGCUAGACUGUUUUGUUCUCAAGUCAUUACAAACGCAGCAAGGAACUUGUUCCUUUGUCUGCAACAUUGUCUAAUGAAUCACUUAGCUCACUAUGGCAGUUAAUCUUUUUUUUUUUUCUUUCUAAAAUACAUGUCAUGACACAGUUGUUAGGUUAUGUGCCCUCAGGAUGUUCUUCAUGCUGUUUUUUUAACCUGUUAGAACAGAAAAGAGAAAAAAAAAAAAAGCCACAAAAAAACCAAACCCUUCUCUCUUGAGCCUCUAAACUCACUGGUGAUCUUAAAUUUGAGUCAUACAUGCUUGCUUGUUCUUCAGCACUAUGCACUGAUAAUAGUUACUCUUUAAUUUAAGGAUGGCUAACAACCAUGAUUUCCUAUGCAUAUUUUCCCUUUGGGUACCAAAAAUGAGAUGCACAUUAGCUGAUUUUGGAGAGGCACUAAGUCAAUCCAAAACACAAGGGUUGUAUUGCUUUAGCCCUCUUGACUAUUCCAAACUCAGCACAUCUGUUUUUUAAGAAUGUAGGUGUGCAAAUGAAGAAAUGAAUUUUGAUUUUCUUCAGCAGGUGUCACAGUCACACAGUCUGUGUAAGUUUGAGAUAAAUCAAAUUGUAUCCUUGCAGGUGAUGGAAAAUGUGAAAGAACAAGCAGCAAGUGAAGAGAUCAAUAUCAGUAUUUUCAGAUUAGGCUGCAAAGUUCUCUUCCUUUUCUCUUCCAGACCACCAUGUCAUAGACCUUUUCACAGAUUGCUCAGGCUUUGUCUUAAAUUUAUCUGAAUUUCUUCUCCUUAGUUUCUCCAGAGUUAUUUGAAUUUUCCAGGACCUCACUGUUCUGCUGGUUAGACAAACUUGUUUUCCAGUUUAAAUUUAUUCAGAGUUCUUUUCUAACACAUAGGUUUUAUGUGAUUAACUGAGACAUCCAAGACUUCUGUUCUAUUGGUAGUUUCCAAAUAUUGUUUCUCGAAUUUGGUGGAAGGCUAUCAUUAUUUUAUUAACUAAUUUAAAUUUGUCAAGUUGUUUACCCAACUUCUUUCUCUGGAAUUCAAGGGCACUCAGUUUCUCUAUGAUGAUGUUCUGGUCUUCCUCUUCAUUAAUGACAUCUCCUAGUUUUGUCAGCAGUAAAUUUCAUUAUUAUUUUUUGAUAUCAAAAUCACUGAUAAAAACAUUGAGGAAAUAUUAAUCAAAGACCAGUGACCAAAUUAUUAACUCUUCUCUGACUCAACUUGUCUGCCCUGUGUUGGCUGUAGGUGCAUGCAAGUUCCUCAUUAAUGCAGUAAUUCUCCUUAUCAAUGUAGCAAUUCUUCUCUUCCCCAGUCAAACCACUGAUUUUCUGGACAGCACUGUAUCACACACUUUGCUAAAUUAGAUCCAAUGUAUUUACACAGAAUCAGUUGCUGCAGUGGGAAGGAACCUCUGAAGAUUAUCUAGUUCAAAUCUCUCUUCAAUGCUGGGUUAUCUCACAUUUAGAGGAAAAAAAAAAGUCUAGUCUGGUGUGCACUUGCCAAAUGAAAGUUGCACUUUAUCCAGAUUUGGUUUUGUCUUUCCAUCUUUAACAAGUUUCUGAUGGGACAUGUACCUUCACCUUGGUGAAAUGCCUUGGUAUGUAUGUGUUAGGGGGAAAAAAAAGUGCUUCUUGUUACAAGGGAAAAACUCUAGUAGGCUACUGUUGAAUCAAAUCUGUAGGAUGUAGUUUGAUUGAUAAGAAUCUGUAGUAUGUUACUGGAUUUUUUUUUCCUGCCCAUUAGAUGUCAACGGAAAAAAUAUGUGUAUUUUUGACAAGUGCUAUUCCUUGGUAUCAUUGCCUGUAUACAAUUUUGUUGUUUUAAUUUUCCUUUCUACUGCAAAUGAUAGCUUUGCAUUUACAGACCUUGAAGCUACCUCACAGUACUCUCUUGGCAGUCCAGUUUUGAGGUAAAAGCAUCAAGUAACAUACCCAAGGUGAAGGAUGGGAUACUCUCUUCUUUCAGCUGCUCUGGCUCCCACUGUCCCAUGGGUGCACUUUAGGGUGUUAGAUGUGGUGCUAAAUAGUUUGAGAGCAGAACCACAUUUCCAAAGCUGAACCCUUUUCUUGAUUCUUGAUUAAAAAAAAAAUAAAAAUUUGGGAGGAGAGUAGUAGGAGGAAGAGUGGAUAGGGAGCUGUCAGCUGUAAUACACUUUUUCUGAAAUUCAUUUUCUACUCUGAACUUGAUGCAGAUGGGGUUUCCAGGGUUCUAACACUUCAGGCACAUCAGCAGUUGCUAGCUUUCAGGACAGGAUGCAGCCCCCUCCUUACUUUCUAAACCAGCACUCCAAUCCACCCACCUUCCCUUUCCAACCUUAGUUUCUUUGUGCUUGGGAACUGCUGAAUCAUGGCCUGAACCUCUGAUUGAUCACCUGAGGCAAGCAAUGAGUCAGCCACAGGAGCACAGCUGAAGGCAAUUCACCUGUACUGCCAGAAGGUGUGGAGCCUGGCUCCACCUCUCCUAGACCCACUUAAGAGCUGACUACCAGUAGGGAAGGAUCUCUCCUGGAGAUCUAGUCUGCUGGAGUUUUAUAAGCGAGCCUAGGGUAUGGGUAAGCUUUUUUUAUCUAGUCUCUUUCUGUUAUUAUAAUCUGCUUUACAUAACUCUCUUGUGUAUUUUGUAGCUGUAACAUCUUAGUAUUCAUUGAUUAUACACCUUGCUUCUACACAUACAUUUUAAGCCACAACUCGCUCCCUCACUCCUGUUUCUUCCCCCUCAUUUCCUAUCUGACAAAAUGGGGACUCCAGUCCUAUCCCUCUUCUUUCUUAAUUGCUCUUCUUCUUUAACCUCUGGGGUAACCAGCCUAUGACUAGCCCUUUUUCUAUCCAAGCCCAGUGCUCCCUUCCUCAUCCUACAGAGAUCCAUUUACAUUGGAGUUACAGGUAUAGUUGUGUUGAGUGCUAAUUGUAUUAGCAUCUCAUCACACUCUGGGAGCCAUGAGGGAUUCACCCACACAGACAUUAUUAAGAAUAUCUGCUGCCACCCGCCGUGCAAAUUCCCCUGGAAGAGAUUUCUGUAUGCCUUGAAGUCAGGAAUCUCUGAUCUUGAUGUAGGACUUGUGGGACUGUUGUGAAAAGAGAAGGCCUGAGUUUUUAGGUGUGACAGGUAUAUGUCGUGAGCGUGGAGUUGGGAGAGGAAUGUCUGUACAUAAGAUGCAAGAAUGUGAACUGGUCAUCCAUGGUAUUUUAGUGUCUGUAAUGUUUUGCUCCCUAUCUUAUGAAAGAAUCAUAGAAUGGCCUGGAUUGAAAAGGACCACAGUGAUCAUAUAGUUUCAACCCUCCUGCUAUUUGCAGGGUGGCCAACCACCAGACCAGGCUGCCCAGAGCUGCAUCCAGCCUGGCCUUAAAUGCCUCCAGGGAUAGAGCAUCCAUAACCUCCUUGGGUGACCAGUUCUAGUGUGUAACCACCUUCUGUGUGAAAAACUUCCUCCUAAUAUCUAACCUAAACAUCCCCUAUCUCAGUUUAAGAUGUCCUCUUGUCCUAUCACUGUUCACCCUCGUAAGCAAUCUUUCUCCCUCCUGUUUACAUGCUUCUUAUCAAUUUUGAACAUGAAGCAUUCACUUUUGCUUCAAAUUAACUGCGAGUACAAAGUAAAUUUCACUGAAGACAAUUUAAUCAUUUACAGAUAUGCUUGAAAUGAUCAUUUUUCUGUCAGCAUCAACAGCUAUCUUUAUUAUAGCUACUUUCUUGUUUUUAUAGUAUAGCAAUAUUUCCUUUUCUUUCUGAAAUAUUUGAAGAAUGGCAUUUCUGACAGAUCCCAAGUAGCUGGAAAUUGUUCAUAUAACUUACUGAAACUAAUUUGAGUAUGCUUAGAAUGGGUCAAUUAAACAGUUGAUGGAAAAUUUGAGUAAUAAAUUGAUCGUUGUUGAUUCUGUUAUGUUAGUAUGCUCUUUAUGCCAUUGCUACCCCCACAGAUAAAACUGCUAAUGCGCUUCUAAUACUCAAGAGGCAUGCUUCCCUGAUAAGUCAGUCUUUCAUAAACAAAGCAGUGUGAAUCAUGCAGAAAACUCGUGGAAACCUGUGGCCUGUUAUAGGAUAAGAUUGACUGGAAAAGCUUUCAGGCAUACUGGUAAAGCAUGCUCAGAUAGCAAGGAAACACGAUUUUUCGGAUCAGUCUUUGUAAAAGCUCUAUCAGUAUGUAUUCACAGAACUUUUUAUAAGGAGGAUGUGUCAGUACCUUAUUUAUAGGCACAUUUUAAAGGUAAGUACUUGUUUUUCCCACUGGUAACAUAUUCAGCAGGCAUGAAAGAAAGAGGCAGAAGCAUUUUAAAAGAUAAAGAUGGAUGAUCCAGGCAGUUGGAGUCAUGUAAGUGUUGACCAAGGUGAGCUAAAUGAAUCUCACCUCUCCUCAGAGCUUUGUCCUUUGGGAAGGUGGGAGACACAUUUUUUCCUGCUCUUGCCUUUCCAUCUUUGUCAAUAUUGUCUAUUUACACUGAUGUGUCUUUGGAAGAGAGAGGUCUGGAUCCAAUCCAUUAAGAUUGCAUAAGACCUCAGUUGAUGUUCAGAGAGGUAGGGGUAGGCCUCCAUAUCAUGCAUUGUAUCUUUAUAAACUGAACAUAAAGGAAGUCUAACUUAGAUGACACAAUAUUUAAGUUUGCUUGAGCUGGGCAGUCAGUUGCUCUAUGUGGAGCACUGAACUCUCUAAGAACAUCUGUACCACAAAUUAUUGUUAUGACUGUCUUACCUCCCAGGAUACAUGCUGGAUUUACUUUAUUUUAGGCUUCACUGUUGAUUAAAGGCCUUAAAUGAUAUAAAUACAUUUUGAUUGAGUUCAGAAGUGGAAUCUCUCCCUGCCUUUCUGCCACACUCUUUGUGAAUCUGACACUGCAACAGAGGGUAAUAUUAUCUUUCUUUAAUGAUACGUGUCUCAGAGUUGCUUAAUAGAAAACAGGGCCUUUUGCAAUUUUUAAUCUCUUUGUUGGUCCAGAAUAAAAAUUCUUGGCACCUAACCACGGCCUGUGACAAUUUCUACUCCUUCAGAUUAACCUAACCAUUUAAUUUCCUUACUCAAUUUUAAUGCCUUCCAAAUUAUAUAACUCUUGCAGUCACCUCCUACUUUAGAUCCAGUUUGGCCAAGCUAAACACACUUAAUGAUUUUAAUCUUUCUGCAUAAAUCAAUCUCUCAUUUUGCAUACUGAGGUUAUAUCAGUUGGACAAGAUGAAGGAAGCUCAUGUCAUAGAUUAACAUUCCCACCCUGUGUGUGCUUGCCUUCUUGCCAGAUGGCUGAGAAAAGAGAUUUUGAUCAUAUUGCUCGAUAAAAGCAGUCUUGGUUGGUCAGGACAGGAAUACUUCUUACUUCCUUUCAGAAAUAUAUAAAGCCCAGUAGUGGGGUAGUCCAGCAGCUGGAAUGUACUAAUAAAGGCAUGAAUGUCUAAAUUUCUGUCCCUGCUUCACAUUCUUUCACCUUUACUCCACUACUGUUGGAAAGCUACUUAGGAUAAGGUACUCAAAAGUUCUUGUACCCAGAUUUUCUCUUCAGCACCGUAAGAUCUGGCUCCUGCAUGGUUGCUCCAGGGAAAGCGUGGGUCUCCAAAGGUAUGUGCAGAAGCAGCCAUCUCCAGAGAGGCAGCCAUGAGGAAAUAUACAGAGAAAUUUUAAGCACCAGCCUAGAGGUGAGUCUAAUGUACUUCAUAGGAUUGUUAUCUGUGGAUGCUUUCCUCUGAAAGGGUUUAAUUUCUCAAAUGCAAAGGUGGGGAAUUGAAACAGAUUUGUGGGUAGCUGAACUGAAAACGUCCAAGGUGCUGGAGGGAGGGAUUCAUUGCUUUCCUCCACUUAACUGAGAACAAAGACUAGAAGGUUUUCUCAUCCUGGGGAGAAACCAUAGCCAUGCAUGAUUCUUCCCAACCCCUUUAUUGGGGCAGGUGCCUCUUGGAUUAUUGGUUGGUUAGGGCUUAGCUCUGGUGUAAUCGCCAGGAACUGCCAGAGCAUGAAUGGUGCCUUGAGAGUAUCCUCAGAAUUCAACGGCCCCCUGGUAUAAUUAGAUCUUGAGUGAACAUUACUGAUAAUCAAGGCAGAUAUGGGUUUAUGUGGCUGCUGAGCAGCCAUCUUGAGCCAUUCCUUAGGAUGAAGGAGUACCUCUGCAGAAUGCGCAGGAGAGUGAGGGCCCAACCACUCUACAUCAGCUCACCUGGCAGAUGGUGAUAACAGUGCUGGACUGACAUGCAGGGUGCUGCAAGGAUUAUUAAUAGAUUAAAAGAUUGUACGGUGGUCAGAGGUGUGUGAUGGGGGCUUUGUAAGAAGUUCAGAUCAAUAAAGGCUUGGCAGUACGAAACCUGGCUUAAGCAAUGCAAUAUUCAUGCUGUACUGAAAGCAUCAUCUAUCUCUUCAUAGCUGAAAAGACCCAAAUCAUUUUUGUUUUGCAGUUCUUGUAACAGAAGCAUUUACAUCUAGCUAAAAUAACUUUUGUUUUCAUUCUUUAUUCUACUUUUUUUUUUUGUUUGUUUAAUGGCAAAAUCGUAUUUAGAUAUUGGAUUUAUAAAAUUCAGGUUUCCCUUUUUCUUCGUGGGACAAAAAGUAGUACGAAUUAGCCAGCUUUUAAAAAAUUCUUUAGUGCUUUUUUUUUUUUUUUUUUGUCCACACUGAUAUUCCUUUCCAGCAUGGAAUGUUCACCUGCAGUGCUCAUUGUUUACUUAAUGCCAUCUGAUAAAUCGGUAGGAGCUGGCUUAAGCGCUUUGGUUUCUGUCUCUCAUUUUCUCAUCCUAACAAGUGAUGUGAGGAGAACUGUUACAGUCCACAGAAAGCUUACGGAGUAGACUGUGGUUGUUUUGUUUUAUAGAGUGAUGCUGUUAUUAAGCAUCUGACUUUUGUGUCAUAUCUGUUUAUAUGGUAAAGUGUAGUUCAAAUCCCAUCUUGGUUCCUGGUUACAAUGAUUUUCUUUUCAGCUUUGCAUCAGUAUUUAAGAAGGAGAAUUAAGGUAAUAUUAAAAACACAAAGUAUGUAGUUUGUAAAGUUGACAAACUUUGAUUAAGAUCAAAAUAUGGACUUCUCUCUUUUUCCCUGAUAUAAUCUGAAAAUCAUUAUAGAAUGCUGAAUGCUUGUUCUAGUGCUCUUCCUUGUAACUUUUACUUAUUCUAAUUCUUAAGGCCUCAAAGUCUUGUGUUUGUUCUCUGUCAUUCAUUAGCACAUGUGGGAUUGGAAUCUGUGGGAUUACUCUGUUAAAAACAGAAUAUUUUCAUCUCCAGAGAUGUCAAGCUUGUGAGAGUGUUGAUUUAUGUUAAUGUCAUAUGUUGAAGGAGAUGGAUGAGAAAUAUUACUUUUCUCUUUUCAAUUAAUGAUCAAUUGCAUGGACAGCAUUUAUAUACUCUAUGCUUGCUUUGCUUCAUCUGCUGUGCCCAGGCAUCGCUUGCAUUUAGUGGCUCUCUGCUGGUUGGGCACUGGGUAGCGUAUUUUUCAUGGCACAAGUCAAAUUCAAUUUAAAUUGUUCUUUUUAACCCUGAGGUGAUGUCUUCAAACACCUCUAACUAAUUAUUUUUCUGGUUCUUUCAACAGCAUGUCUACAGACAAACAGAGCUUGUUUGCCUUAAUAGUGUAUGACAUGACUGUGUGGUUUUAUUUCACCUUGCAUAUUGCCCAUUGCAUUUUAAUUUCCAUCUGGAGGAGCGGAACUUGUCUUUGCAGAUCUUUGUAACAAGGAUUACAGUGGUAUGAGGCAAAAUGAGAAAUGUGCUCAGUGCUUGAGCUGCAUUCUGUUGGGAGGUAACUUGCUCCCAAGUAGAAUGCUUUCUACUUGAUGCAUACAGUGAUGUCUCUCAUUUUCAGCACAGUACUUUGCUCUUAAAAAUUAAAAAGGAGACCUGGAAAGUGGUAUGAAACAUAAAAUAAGCUGAGCUGGUCAUCUGGGCUAUCUUUAAAUAGGACUGUAUGGAGAAAUAGACCAAGAAGGAGAAUCUGAUAGGCAACUGGGAGCUUAAGCUUCCAAAGUGAUGGCAAGGAAACUGAGAACUUGAGAUCUGGUGAGUGAGUUGGUGUUUAUUGUAGUAAAAUGCCCCAGAAGCUGAGAAGCUGGAACCCUUGACAUCCUUAGACACCCAGUAGGAGGAGUGGCGGGACAGCAGUGAAGUUUCUGAGAAAUGUCUGCUUUUCAGUACAGGUUAGCUCAAAAAUCUUGGUUUUGACUAGUUAGUAGUUACCAAUGAAAAUCUGUUUUAUUGUGAAUUUCCUAAUGAAGUCCAGUGGAAUUAUUGGCAUGGUAAUAUAUGAACAAGUUCCUGAAAAGGGUAAAAGUACAGAUAAUGUCUAGAAAAGGCUAUAUUAAACUCUGCCAUUCAUUUGAUGUACAUCCUGAAGAGUGAAAAUUACUAGAGUUGAUUACUCCCAUGAAUGUAUCUCUGUUGAAUGAACCUGCUCAAAUGUCUUUUUCUUUUCUGUUGCUUUCUCUCUGUUUUAAAUUACACAGACUUAAAUGAAGCUGCAAUGGGUUUUACCCGUAAGUUCCUCUGCUUUUCUUUUUGGUCAUGGAUUGAACUCCUAGUCUCCUGUGACACUGUUGUAUACACAGUUGUAUCCUUCAUUUUAACUGUUACUUAUUGGGAUCAGAGCGUCUUCUAUUUGUCCUUUCUAGAACAGGCAGUAGUGGAAGAGUGCUAUAAUGCCACUAUAGAGCCUACUUUUUAACUGAAGUGACAUUUGGCAUAUGUAUCCAUAUGUACCCAUACAUAUCCUUAUAACCAUAUAAUCCUGGAUGUGUCUUUACGUAGCAAAAGUUCACCUUCAGACGCAAGUAUUAUUGGCAGAGACUGUUAGAGAUUAAUUUAAUAAUCAGAUUCAUUCUCCCCUAUUAAAAUGAUGCUUAGAUAUUGGAUGACAUAAACUUUCUUUCCCAUAUGAUCUUAAUUUUCAUAGUAAGUCACCUGGGAUUUGCAGAGUCCUAUUAAGAUGUGCUAAGAAGCUCCUUGAGUCCUGCCUGGCAGAAACCUGGAGCUGCCUAAGGAACCUUCCAGUAAAUUGGCUAUGUAAAAACAUCAGAGAAGAAUCUAACACUGAAGAAACUGGCUUAUUACAGCUCUUUUGCUUUAGGGUGGAUGGGGUUUUUCCUUUUUUUUUCCCUUUUUUUUUUUUUCUCCUGAUGACUCCCCUGGGUGAAUAGGAGACUGAAAAAGAAGCAUGAGCUCAAACCGUGACUAGACCUAAUCUUUCCAAGGAGCAGAUGGUCACAGCUUUGCAUCUUCCCUCCUCUGCACCAAAUGGAGUGUGGGGACAAUGUUUGGAGAUGCUGCAAUUUAAAGCAGAAGACUGUUAUUUCAGAUCUGCAAUGUGAUUUUUCAGUAGUACAGCUCUGGAACUGAGCAGAUUCUAGGGUAUUACAGAUGCCAAACGACUUUCCAAGAGUCAGAAAACAAAGCAGCAACUGUGUUACCACAACUACGGCACAACUGAUACCUUUUGAAAAGCCACUGGUACUAAAGAACCUGCCCUUGUUAAGGAGAUUUUAAAACUCACCUCUUGAGUCUUUCAACAUAUGGUGCUCAGCAGAGCUUAAAAGGUUAAGAGCUACCCAAACAAAAUAUUCACUGUCCAGUAGCCCAGGAGCUCAUUAUCCUUAAGUACUGCAGUGUUUAUAAGCGUGCUGAGGAGGCAAAGGACAUGAAACGUACUUCUACCUUCAGAAGGGGAAUUAAUGUAUUACCAUUCAUUCCUUUUAAAGAUAAUAUUGCUUAUUUAGGAAGUGCUAAAGUACAUGAUGUCUUUACUGAUUAAAUUUCCUGUGUAAGCAAAAUGUUCAUAAAGUUACAUAACUGCAUUUUUCUUCCUACUUCAUUGCUGGCAGCUUCAGUACAGGCUUUGCUCUGUCAUCACCUCUGAGAGAUCUGAUAGCAAGGAGAAAAAAAGCAGAGGGAGAGCAGGGGAAUUGCAGAUUGAGGAGUGAUGCUGUUACUGCAAAUCCUUCAUUCAAACUCCCAUGAAUUUUUCUUCCUUCCUUCCUCUUGCAUCCCAUAACAGACCUAGGUUCUCUGUGGCCUUAUGCUUCCCACCUCAUUAGUGGGUCAUUAGUGCUGCUCUGACGCAACAAAGUUCUAGAAGUCAUUUCCCUCUGAGCCUGUAUGAACUGAGCCAGAAACUGAGACCACCUUAAAACACCCUGAGUGAUGAUUAGAAAGUCAAGCCCCGAAGCUGUUAUUAGGGAACAUUCAGUCUAGAAAUUAGAAAUGGUAAGGAAUAUGUAUGAGGAGAGAUUUCUUUGAAAGGCUCUAAAAGCAUCUUUGUCUGCCAAAAGUAUUCCGUAAACAAUUUGUUGUCUUGCGUUUAUGAGUCGCUGGAGGGGAGGAGAUGCGAAUCUGCUGCAUGGAUCUGCAAGCAGUGAGGAGUGACAAGUGCGUCACACUCUAUUUGUUCUGUGAUAUGCAUACAAACUAUGUUGAAAACCUUUUGCCCCAGGAAUCAGAAAAAGUCGUUCUUAGGCCCCAUUCUGCCUCUUAAGGAAUCAGAAACAGUCCUCUUUCAGCAGAUACAGAAGGUGUCAGUCUUCUAUUCAGUCUAAGCUUUUCUCUGAAGUGCAGCUUGUCUUGGUUUUGGCAGCAAUUAGCAUUUUGUCUCAGUGUACAUGGGGGACUUGCUCCAGAUGAUUUACAAACAUCAGGAGAAAGAAGGGAGUUGAUGCUGUUUUUGAGUUCCCACCAGCUCUUCUUUUUUGUUGCAGAGUAAUAAAACGGGUGUUUUUUUUUUCCCGAUGAGCACAAAUACUUGUCCAAAAUAACUUAAAUUAUUUAUGAACUUGACUCCAUUCAAACAUUUCUUUUUAAGGCACCAUGUGAAAGCUCUUAUUUCUUCCAUGAAGGAUAUUUAUCAUCAGCUCUGCGAAUGUUUUGGUGGACCAAAGGGUGGAGUAUUCUGUUUUGCUUGUUUGGAUUGUGAAACAGGAAUAUCUGUAACGUGACAGGGCAUGAAAGAGGGUGAAAUGAAUUAAGGCUCUUCUUUAAUGAAUGGACUUUUGUUUAUAACAAAUACAAUAAAUAAACUGUGGUAAAUCCACUUUCAGUAAAUCCAAAGGAUGGUUGAUGCAUAUAUUUCAUAGGGAUGUGUGGUGGCAGACUAGAACUGGUGAUAUAUCAUUCCAGAUGGGCUUUUUCUUUUUUCUUGAUACGUCAUUCCAGAUGGAAUUCUAGAUUCCGCAGAUGAGUCUUUUUGUUAUCAUAUUUCGGCUGAAAGAACUGCUGUGCUGUAGAGCUGAUGUGAUAUGUACUGUUGUUUAAUCUGACUAUGCCAGCUCAGAACCUGGAAAGACAAGUAUAUUCUCAAGCUGGAUGCUUCAGGAGUUGUCUAACCAAUGUCAAUCACUUAGUCUUUAACAUAAAGGGGAUAGGUUUCUUCCUGCAAAAUUACUUGCUAAACUGGAUUGGAGUAAAUGGACCACUGGAUAUUCCAUGCUGAGUGUGGAAGUCCUGAGCAGGCAUUUACCAAUAAAACAUAUGAUUAUGGCCAAUGCUUUAUUCAAAGAUUUGUAUUUAUUUAGCUGAGGAGUCCCUUUAGGCAAAUGUUGUGGAUGACUGUCCCUUAAAAUUUAAAUCAUAAAUUAAGGUAUCACCACAAUCUACCAUCAAGAGAAAAUGAAAGGGAUCUGUAUCCAAAUAUGAUGGAAAUUGUGACUACUUGCCUCUCUAAGUAUUUGAAAACAUUGAAUUUUGCCAAGAAAAUUGUGCCAAAAAUACAGGUUAUUAGAGAGCAAAAGCUGUAAGAAAGCACAGGCAUUACAAUGGAUCAUUUUGCUUUAACGAUCUUUCCAGGAAGUACAGCUUUUGAGCGGAAACUUACUAUUUGUUGUAUAGGGGCUUACAAACCCACUUGGGUCAGAACCUCAUGGACACCUAGCCAUCUAAUUUCUUGUGAUGAUGCAAGUUUAUGUCACUUUUUGUUUUCAGAUGCAUCUCAAAGAGUACUAAUAGUGUCAGUGGGUCAGCUUGCAAGGGAGAAGUUCAAGGUGGCUGAUGCACUCUGUGUGUUUCUGUUAAUGUCAGAAAAUGCUGGAGUUGAACUCUAUAAUUCCAAUCCCCAAAUAAAUAUCUGGUAUUUCUGAUUGCCAUUGAGUUCCUCAUAAAAUCCCAUACGUACAGUGCUAUUCAAUAUCUGGGAUCCCUGAUUCCCAGAAAGUUCCUUUGAAACACGCUGCUAGCCAGGGUAAGUAUUUCUGUGGGAUAUGUGGCAAGAAUAGUGCUAAGAUAUCUGUGGACAGAUUUUACUGUUGAAAGUAUGAUUGGUGAUCCCUUUCUACCAGAUUUUGUAUUAACUUGAUGGUAGGCAUCCAGUUCCAGCUGCAGGCACUGACUCAUACCUGUAGAAAUACCUCUCACUGAUAGUUCAUGUGCUCAGUGAGGCAACAAACUGCAAAUGAACUCAAAAUCAUCAAUCAAAAUGACUUCGCUAACUUGUUCCUAACUUUGAUUGACCCUACAUUUUCAGGGCUGAGAAUGCAAAAUGCAAGCUCUGUAGCUCAGGGUUUAAAGUUUGGAUCAGAUAAGACAUACUGUUCCUUUGCUUUCACAUAGAGGAAUAUAAUUAUAGCCAAAUCUCUACUGUGAAAACAUAGUGAGGUAGAACAUGAAGUUCUUGCAUGUGUAAGCAUAAACCCCAUCUUCUAUAGGUUUUUUGACCUAAUCAAGCAGGCAACUGAAAGUUUUCAAGAAUGAGAAAGUGGGAACAUAGCCGAAGAGAAUGUCCCUUGUCAUUUUUUAAAGGACACUCAGAAUUUUUACCCUAGCAUUUGCACAGCUCUUUUUGGGCAUAAUAGCAGAUCUACCUAACGUAACUGUAGAAAAGAUUUAGCAAAACUUCCCAUUCUAGUCUGAUCAGGAUGCAGACAGGCACUUAAGGUCAUUGGCCUGAUCCACCUUGCUGCUAACAGUACCCAUUUUGAGAUCAAAGGUGUCCUCGUGCCCGCAAGCUCACAGGGCUCCCCAGUUCCCAGCAGAUAAGCAUUGGCUGGCUUUCUUUUUCAGAUUGGCUUGUGCAAAUGUACCACUCAUGACUCCCACAUACAAUUGGAGUGAAAUAGACUGUUGGAAGGUGCAGUGAUCCAUCUUGAGCACAGAGCCCCUCUGUUGUGCAGAACAUAAUGAGCACUUGAACAUGCAUAAGUUAUGCAUAGCUCUGCUCCCAUCCAGCCUAUGGGACGCAGGUUUAUGUAGCAGCGAACAUAGCCAGCAGUGUGCCCAGGUAGCCAAGCAGGUUAGUGGCAUCCUGGUUUGAAUGUAUAGUGUGAGAAAUAGGGUAAGGAGGGUGGAAAUGAGACUCCUUUCCACAACUACUGUCAUCACACUGUGCUCUGAGCUGAGCUGCCAUGGAUGAUGUAACUGAGACAAUCCCAAAAUACGGAAUUUCUACUUUAUAAAAAGUCAAUUGACCUUUGACUUUUUGAAGACCUUGAUCUGCUUUACAGUUGAUACUGACAGGGUAAAUUGAUAGAACUAAGGUAACUUUGCUCAUAGUUGUUACAGAAGGCAAACAAUUGUGUGGAAAAUGGCCUCUUGUGAUGUUGCAUCAUCCUGUGGUGACUUACUGGUAGUCACUGUGAACUUGUUGCUUUGGCUAAUCUGCUGAGCAGCCCUAACAGAAACAAAGAUGUCCUUCUUAUUCUUAUGUGUAUUUUUUCUUUUAAGUGCAUGGAAAUGGAAUUGAAAAAAUCAUCAAUGUAUUUUUAAGGAUAUUACCAGUGUAUGUAGAGGAAAAAAAAGCUUUUUGAACCGAAGUUCUGGAUUUUCUAGGAUUUCCAUUGCAUUUUAAGAAAUGGAGGUAAAAGUGUUCAACAUAAUACAAAUUUCUAGUCAAAUAAAAUGUAUGAUGCUGCAAGGUUAGGGUUUUAUUGUUAUUUUUAAAAUUAAAGUAGAAAUCGAUCUCAGUCAGAAAUCAUUUUUACUGUCUUCUUGUACGGUUUGUAAUAGGGAAGUAAAUCUGCAGGAAUAAAUUGGGCUGUUCUUCUGCUUCAUUAGGACUUGUGAAUAUCACACUUGAUUAUGAUCUCGGCCCUUGCUCUUGCUGCACCAUCGUCAGUCACAAACUCAGGCAGACAGGUGAUCAAAUUCUUUAAAGGCAUGGAACUAACGUGGAAAAUGACCCACUGCACCCAGAGCCAGUAUCCUGGGCAGUCAAAAGACUGACACAAUAUUCACUGGUGGAAAGUUUCUUUCAGUUGUUUUUAUGAAGCUCUGAACUUGCUGGUCUUUUGCUUCUCUCUUUCAGUUCUAACCCCAGUGGGCUUUUUUAGUUGCCUCUGUGGCUCAAGUGCCUUUCAGGAAAGCAAAAUGGUGGCUUAAUACAAUGCCUCCAAAUAGUAGGUUCAGGACACUAAAUUAAAGAAAUUGGUUUGAAAUAAUAUCUUUGCAUUCAGACAGUUGCCCAUGAAGGUGCAGGCAAAUACAUUGUCUAUGAGUCCUCCAUGUGAAUGAUAAUGGCUUAGGAUUCCAUGUGGAUAUAAACCAGGUUAUAAGUCGACAGCUUACUCACAUUCAAGCCCUGCUUGAUACAUACCAAGAGAAACCUACUUAGAUCUUCUUGGAAAGUAGAUGUCCCCUUUUGUGGCAGCUGGUAAGAUUCUGAAACAUUCUUUUAUUUCUUGCUGAGAGAAAACCAAGCUUUUUCAAAGAUGUUCACCAAACUGAGUUGUGUGAACGUGUCACAUUUCAUCAAAAUUGGAACUGUUUGGGAAGGAUUACAUGAGUCUGUUCUCAUGCACUUUCUCUUCCUCUCUCUUUUACAUUUUUCCCUACUCCACCCUCCUCCCUCCUUCCUGUCAAAAUAGUGAGUGACCACUUCUGUUUUGCCAAAAGGGCAAAAUUCAAUAAAGUAAAAAAUUUGGCUGUCUCUAAAUAUGUUCUUUCCUGUACAGCUUAGCAUCAGGACAAAAAUACCUCCCCUGCUGCCCAUGAGCAGCAGUAAUGACUAAAGUAUUAUACAACAAAAAAUAUUCCUGUUAAAACUACUGUAGUAGUUAAAACUACUAUAUUUUUGGGGCUAUAGAGGCAGGCAGCAGUAUCCUUUCCUUGCCCUCUCUCCUACCCCUGUACCACACCAAAUCAAAGGCCAGUGUAGCUGGAGCUUGUGAAUCCCAGCGCCUCCUUCCUUGGCUGUGUAUCCUCUUGAUGAGAGAUGAUCAUUUUAGGCAGGAACAAUGUAGGGCAAUCUGUUUUCAGAUUUUCUAAAUAUUUCCCAACUUCCAUUGCAUGCUGUUGUCUUCACACUGCAAACUCAUGCCAAGAACUCCCCAACAGCAUUCUUCUCUGGCUUCCCAAAUUACUUGGAGAACAAAUAAACCUUUCCCUGAGUCACUGAUUUCUGCAAGAAAGCAUUUAUGUUUAUUAUAUAUGAAGGAAGAAUCACUUGACUGCACAUUUUACAGCUUGCUGCUUUCCAGUGAAAGCCAAAAAUAAGGAGAUCUUUGACAGCACAGAACUGCUUCCUCCUCUGCAUAUUUCUAGCUGUGAACAAUACUUCUUGCUUCCCUGAGCAGCCAGGGUACUGGCUGGAAUUGCCUAGCAAUUUCUAUCCUCGUCAAGCCCGUAGAGCUCUAGGACACGUUAUGGCUUCUGUAACUGGUUUUAGUGCUUGGCUGAAAAGCUUUUAAUGUAAUAAACACUGUGUAUGUGGUCCAAUUGCACAGGAUGAUAGGUUCUUCUGUAUUUCAUUGAUCCAUUCUGAAAUUAGUACUGGAACAAUUUAGGAGACUCUAGAAUCAAAUAGGAGAGGACUUCUUUUGACCAUUAAAAAAACACUUAGUAAUUAAGUUUGGACCAUAGAAAUUUUCAGUACUUGUCAUCAGAAGUACUUGAGGUGAUCACAGUAUGUGUUAACAUUUGAAAUGCUUACAGCAUCAGUAAAAGUUUUCCCUGCCCUAUCUGUGUGCCUUUGCGUCUGGUGUGGCUACAUUCUGAGCACACAUAACCCUGAUUGCCUCCAAUUUUCUCCGCACUGCUCUAGCAGAUAUGGACAUUUAUAUUUCUGUGCAUUUUUUCCUCUGGGUCAAUUCAUCACUACUUUAUCUGUUGGUAAAGAGCUAUUAGAGCCGGUGUCCCACCAUUUGGUGUUUGUGUUACAGCUCUCCCACUUUUCAUCAAGCUGUUCCAGAACAGAAAGCACAAUUCAGUGAUUAAAGCAAAGAAGGGUGGUUAAUAGACAAUGAUUCUGUUUAUCAAAAGGGCGUCAGAAGCUGCCACAUAGCCAUGCUGUAGACCAUUACUCAGCCCUGUGGUGUGGCUCAGGAUGCAAGUGCUCAACAUCAGGAAAAACAGAGUGAAUUUCCUUUCCACUCAAAAUUUUGUGUGCCUGAAAGGUCAUCUGAUCUUUUGUCUCCUAGGUAUAUUGCCUGAUUUAAAUCACAUGCUGCCUCUCCUAACAGCAUUACUUAUAUUUUUGUGAUAGUUUUACAGAGUGAACACAGUGAGAUUGGUGUACAUUCUGAGGUGUGGAGAGUUCAUUUACCUUUAGAUUUGAAAUCACAUUACCACAGCCUAGUGCCCAAAAUCUGAACAACUAAACUAAUAUGCUCUAAUACAGGCACCCAGAUUCUGAUGCUAAAAGGCAUCUGAUAAUUUUCAUAGGCUUCUACUGCCUAAUGUCAGCCAAAAUGUCUGCUGUUUUCCUAUUGCUUAGUACAAAUGGGCUAUCACAAAUCUUAAUUUGCCAUCCUUACAAAAUGUGUCAGUGUACUUACUGUUACACUGAUAUGAAACAUCAUCUCCUUUGUUUUAGAAUAGUUGUUUUUUAGAAUUAUCUUUUCAAGGUGAAAUGGCUGUACUUUGCUUCAUGUUUGUCUGCUUGAUCCCAAUAGAAGCUGAAGAAUCGUAUUUCUGACUGUUCUUUGUGUAGGUUGGGUGUGAGGUUAGCAGAGGCUGCAUUUCGGUCUGCACUGUCUGCUGAUGCAUUAUUUUGUGCUCUGGAUGAUCCUACACCAGUUGUUCUGCUUUGCUGCAGCAGUGAGUAGCCCAAGUUUAAGUCCAAGGAGCAGAAACUUUAUAUCUGCAUUUGGAUCUGCUCCUAUCUGCUCUAACCAAGUAUGUGAUAGCCUUUUAACAGAGUACACUGCAGGUUUCUCCCCUGCGUUAGCCAGUAUAUGGCUGUGGACGCUGUGGGCCAUGAAAGCAAAUCCUCUUGAGAAAGCCUACUGCUAAACUCACUCAGUAACUCUUCAGAGGAGCAUGAACACUGUUUUUACAGCUGAAUCUCAUGCAAGGCUUAAACUAUGGGCCAUGGGUCUAAGAGAUGGCUCCCUACCGUAUGUUUUUGUUGCACAGAACAAGGUCAAAUCUUUCCAAGAUUGGUGUUAUGUAACUAAAAGCCUGCACAGUGCUUUAGAAAAACAAAAGAAUCUCCAUUAUUAUAAGCACACGAGCUAAAGUAAAUAUAGUACAGUUCAACAGUUGAUUUGGAAAUUUUCACUGUUUCCAUAGUUCUAAAGCCCAGGAAUUUGAAUAAUUUUUGAAGAAAUUAAGCAACUGUAGCUACAGUGGGCAACCUCAUGCAGUAGAAAACUGACCAUUCAGAAGAGCAAUUUUUGUGUUGCAAAAGAACUUAAUUUUCUGCUUGCUGUCUCCUUCGAGAAACCUGCACACUCAGUACUUGUGCAGUCCUGUCGGGGAGCGAUCGAUAUGCAGCUGCAUUUUGUGCACGGUUCUGGAAUUUUGUUCUCCCACUCACCCCUUGGCAUUUCACAAUGAGCUUUCUUGUGCUGAAGCAAGGACGGCCUCCACAGAACAUGUGUUUCUUCAUCACGUGGAAUUAUCAGAUCCGGUCCUUUUUCUAAUCAGCUGAGCUUUUCAGUGUGUACCGGGUGUCAGGCAAACAGAGUGGCUCACAAAAUCAGCUCAGGUGACUCUUUAAGGAGGCUUCUAGUGUCUGUAAUUUGAUGCUUGUGUUUUCCUUUCUUUGAAGCACACCUCACUUCCCCACUUACCAAGCAGCACCAUGGCACCAGUUCUGUACAAAAAUGAGGUUACGCUCCUUUAUCAGCAGUGAGUGCAGUUUCAUUUCAACAUUCAUGCCACAGAAAGCUGUGCAGGAAUAUAUAGGUUGAACACCUGCAAGACAACAUGAGGACUUAGGGAGCGGGUAGUGUGGCUCACUUGUUUGAUGUGGGAGUUGGGCACAUCUAGCCCUGGCAGACAGUGCCUAAGCAUAUGCAGACUGGUAGAGCUCUGCUAAAUUCAGGGGUACUGCAUCAAUUUCUAAAAUAUGAGCACAGUGACUAGCAAAAUUCCUUUUCUUGAGAGGGCAUUUCCUAGCCAUUAAAUGCCAAAUUAUCCAGAUUAAAAAAAUCUUGGUUUGCUUCCUGUGUUGCUGUGGGUAGUUAAUGAGCAAUGGUAUGUGGCUGCACCACCCUCUGGGGUUUAAUCUCUAUCUCACAUUAAUAGUUACACCAUAGAGGUCCACUGGAUGGAGAAUAUUCCCUUUCAAAAAUCCUUCUUACACCUCUGUAAACAGGCUGCACCUCUGUAAACAGUUUACUAGAGAAAUUAGGUGAGAAAGGAGGCAUAACAGAGCAACUGGUUCAGCUCUUUGAAAUUUUGGGAGGGCUGUGACACAGUCUGCUUUGCUGAAGAGACAGAGGUACAGGACUUGUGUCCUGCAGGCUGCCAGUAAUGUGGCCUCACCGUGGACUGUUUCAGUCUCCCAUUAGGGAGUCUUGUGCACAGGGACUGUGCUGCUGCAGGGGCUGACAGCUGGGGCAUGGGCCUGGCUAAGAUCUGCUCCCUGUGCUGGUUAAAGCCAGUCUGGAGAUGCUCACUGCUGGGCAGUGUCCUGAAGUCUGAAUGAGUUAAAUAUAGGAAUAACAGAUGGAAGAAUAGAGGCAGAAGAGGGAACCCGAGGUGACGAGAAGACAAUACUGGUGAGAAGCACUGUUUUUACCAGUUUCAGUCAGUUUUCCCCACUUCUCCACUAAAAUUCUGUUUGGAAAACAACCUUUUUUUCUUCUCCUGCUGGGCUUGUGAUUACAAAUAAAAAUGUAAGCAUGUAUGUGGCCCUCUUGAAUCACAUUUUCUGCAUAGCUUUAUUGAAUUGGUAUCUUCCAUACAAGGCAAGGUCUUUUCAGAAAUCUCUUUUGUCACUAAUGUUUUCCAUAAGCCUGCUGCCAGCAUUCAAAAGUCAGUGUUGAAAUAAUGGAGAAAAAUGGCAGUGCCAAGCAGCAUGCUGUGUUCCUGGAAACCAUGGGUUAAAAAGAGAAGUUUUUUGGCAGCUGAUUGAAAUCUAAGCAGCAUUUUUCCGGUGUGUUAUUUCCCCCAUUUGUUCUCUCUUCACUAAUAUUUAACAGGCUUUUAUUGAUUACAGAGGCAGAUUUGUACUGUAGGUGGAAAUGUAAGGUUACUUUUUUGUCCAGUAAUUGGUGGCUAUAUGUGUAUCUGUGUAUAAUAAAUGUUUCACAAAUCAGUGCUGGAAGAAAUCACAUCCUGGCACAGUUAGCUGUAAAGGCAGAAUAGCAUUAGUCAUUCUUAAAAAUAUACAUCUCAAAAUCUAGGUAAAUUCUCCAUGGAGACGUGUAGAAAGUCCCCACUGCUGCUGCCUAACAAUUGCAUCUGAGCCUAGUCAUAAACUCAGCUUCACAAGUGUUGUCAGCUCCCUCUGGGUCUGCAGUCAGGUCAGCCAUCUCUCCCCUGGUAAAGUGAGAGUGCUUCAGAUCUUAUCUGCAGCAAGUCUCUUUCACGUUCAGCUGACAGCUGCAGAUCUGCUUUGGCUUGGGUUAUUUGGACUUCCAUCCUUAGGGAGCACUGUAAGUUCCCACAUGUCCCCCUGCUUCCCUGUUUAAGUCCCUCAGGCACCAUUCCCUGCAGAGUUUUGAUUGUGUGUGCAAUGAAACUCUCAUUUCCCAGCUGGGCACAGACCUCUAGGAUUUUUUACAGAUCUCUAGCUGAGAUUUUUAGUGAAAUGGAGAAGACUAAUGAAGCUGAUAUAAAUUUGUUAAUUUAUAAAAUUUUCACACAGUUCAUUUCUUUUUGACUGAUCUAUUCCUUGAAAUAAUUAUUAAUUUGCUGUUUCAACUUAUUUCACCGUUCACUCCUUUUUUCUUUUUUCAUUUUCCUGCCAUUGUUACAGUUGCUUCUGCUAAGCUUCUUGUGUCCUCAUGAGCUUUUGCAGAAAGCUCCAUUUCCAUACUCCAUGAUUCCCUUAAUUCUACACCUAAGUGAAAGUGUGUAAUUCUCACAACAUGAAGGGUGACAGAAGUCUCAUCCUCAGUUAGCCCCUGCCUGAAUUUGUAACCUAAUUCUACAACAUGUUUAAAAACACACGUGCUGUUCCCUGCCUGACAGGCCUGCUAUUGCCUAUGGGCUUGGCUAGCUACUGGCAUGUUUUCUUCAGCAAAAGUUGCUAUCAAUACUUCUCUUGAUAUUGUCAAAAUGCUGUAUGCCAAUGUUGGUGAUGUUAUCAAAGAAAAGUGAAAUCUCAUUGAAAUGCAGUACUAGGUUUGUUUGGUAAAACUUAUCUUCCUUUUGCACUCUAUUUACAUUGUUAAUAAUAAACUUUUGCUCCAUUUCUGCCAUAACUUUGACUGAAAUGUUCCAAUUGUUGUUAAGUGUGUUACCUCCUUAAUUUGUUUUUUUUUACUACUCAUACAAAGCUAAUGUACUUUCUGAAAUUUUGUGAAAUUUAAUUCACAACUAGCAUCUCAUUUAGCUCUUGGCCUUUUUUUUCUUUUUUUUUUUUUUUUUUUUUUUUUUUUUUUUUUUUUUUUUUUUUUUUUUUUGGUAUGAAUCACCUUAAACUACUGAUGCGAGAAUAUUUCUCUACUUUCUUGAUUUCUGGCUUUCUUGCUUUCCUACUUCUUUGUUAUAAAUUGAUUGGAAAGAUUUCAUCAUUACCAGUCAGCUUGCUCCUGAUUUUCUUCAAUGUUGGGAAGUUAGCUCUUUGGACACAAAUUAGAAAUGCUAUAGAUUGUCACUUUUUCUGAGUUCCUAUGAUUUGUACACAACACCUUUUUAUGAAGACAUCACAAGUGGUAGGGAGAGGAAAUGGACAAUUCCCCUAUAUGCUGUAUCUGAGCUUCUCCCUGGACACUGCUUCAGCCUCUCUUACCAACACCUCUCUUUUUUUCGCUCCUUCUCCAGUCCCACUAGGAUGUCAAUGCUGAAAAGUUCAAGGUGCACUGAUGGUGUUCACCUCUGCAGACAGCAGGUCUGCCACUGACAAAUGUCACACUGUGCUUCCCAGCAGUCCAGGGCCAAAGGUGGACUGCAGUAGGCAACAUGAGCAUUUAGGACAAGACAUCAAAUGCCUUCCACGAGUAGGAAAUUUAAAACAUGUUGGUAAUCAUUGGUGUUCAUAGUUAUAACCAAUAUUGAAUUCCUUCAGCAACCGUCUAUGUCCUCUCUUUCAUUGUUCUUUAUUUCCGUUGCAAAUAGCUUGCAACAAUAAAAAUGAAGAAAUGCCAAAUUUGUGUGGCUCUUCAAAAAAAAUUCUUGCCUUGAAAUUAAGUUCAGUUGAAAACUCUGAUCAUCCUCUCCAGAUUUUGUGCAGGCCAGAUGGGCUAGUGCUGUCCUUUGCUGUGAAGAUGUCCUUACUGUGUGUUGCUUUUCUUUCCUCAUGAGAGGAAGAAAUAGAUCAAAAUCUUCAUGUCUCCCUCCUGUUUUGCAGAAACUUCCUCCACUGCCUUCUUAGUGUGGAAUCCCUCAAGGCCAUAUGUGUAAUGAUCUAUUAACUGAUGUUAGCCAAUAUCUUGGUCUCAAAAUUCAUUGCUUUCUUUCCUUACAGUUCUGUCCUCAGGUUCUUCAGGCUUUUCUUCCUUUCUCACUAACAAGUGUUCAUUAUUUCUCCUUUAAACCCCAGAGCAUCCCCUGGUGGAUUUUUGUAUCUUUUAAUUUCCUGGAAGGAUAUGAAGGGUCUAAAACUAAAAGCUUUGCUUGCUCUUAUCCAGGAGAUUACAGAAGGGAAUUGGAUAAAAGCGAAGGUUGAAUACUCAGUGCUUUGCCAUCAUCAUCAGCAGUGUACAUUUGGUAGAAAAUAGCAUUCUCCUUAGGCAGUGGGGUUUCAAAACAUUUCCCAGGCAUUAGAAAUUCAGGAAUGAAAUUCUUUAGACAUUAUUCUCUGCGGCCUGAAGUUCCUUUUUAUUUUGCUGGAGACGGAAAAGGGAAAUAGAGUAUUUGGACUCCCCAACUGACAUAUAAUCAUUAAAGAAACAGGGACUGUCCUUAUCACAUGCCUUUUCCUUCAUUGUUGCUCAGACAUUAUCUAGACAUUGACUAUCCUAUAGCUCACCAACAGAACUUGCAACCUACUCUUGUCAACUAUGUGUAACAUUUAAAGGUUUCUGAAUACUUUGGUAUCUGAACAUUUAAUAUGCCUGAGCUGGUUUUCCUUGCCUGCUGCCAUGGGAAAAAUCCGGUGUGUUGGAAGAGCAAGACAGAAUUACAGGUCAGACUCUUGUUUAUCCUGCAGUGAGCUGGUCAGAAGAAUAGUAAUGGAUGGUUUUUGAGAAUAAGAUACUGACCAAUACCAGAGAAUAAAUCACAGUUUUUUUCAGGCACACCAGGUGUUGCCUGAGACACUGUGAACCUCUUUCAGUCCUCUGGAAGACUGAAGGAAACCUCAGGGGAAGUACUUUAAGCUUUGAGAAUUCACUGAGCCCUGCUUGAAAGGAGCUGAAGGAAAAUCAGUGCUGGUUGCAGUGUUGUGGGAAGCUGCAAGCAGGGAGCUGUAUCCUGCCCAGCAACGGGGCUGGUUGUGUAUGCUGCUCUUUUAGAUGAUGGAUGGUGGGAAGCUGGGUUUAACACAGACAUCACAGUUACUCUGGCCUUUUGAAAAUUCAUCACUGUGAACACUGUUGAUACUAAUUAUUCUGUAGAAAUUGCAGUGAGUAACCUUGUAAGACUGUUGGAUUGUGUUUACAACUGAGAAGGACUGCCUAAAGGAUAAAGAUGUAUCUUUCUUUUUCCACAACACUGAUUGAACUCUGAUAAAACAUGUUUUCACUUGUUUCUUCGAUGUACCCUUACACCAUGAGAUGAAUAAAUUACACAGUAGGAAGUAAAUGAGAAGAUUUUAUACUGAUAACUGUGUGCAUGCUUCAGUUUUCCCUAGUGUUUUGCUUUGCCAUAAUCCCUGCUUUAAAAUAAAUGAGCACAGUUGUACAUCUCUACUCUCCCACAGUAUAAAACAGAUCUUUUCCAGAAGAACUUUUCUUUUUCUAUUAAGUUUCAUCUUCAUCCUUCCUUUGGAAAUGCCUUUGGAAAUACAGAAUUAUACUAAAAUUUCUCAUGGUCAUAGAUAAAAUAAUGCUAAACAUAUGUACCUAUACUUUUAGCUGUAGGUGGAAAAGUCAGUGCUCAACCACAGAAUUUCACUAGCCUUUUGCUUACUUUGCUUUCUCCUAUUAAAUGUUAUUGAUUUCAGUUUGCAUCUCCUAAUGACUAUUAUGCCAGGGACAGAACUGGGUGACAGUGAAAUCCAGUUCUAUGCUCCUGCUGAUAAUGAAAAUGUGCUAGUAGCAGACCAGAUUGCUUAAAUUACUGCUAGUCUGAGUAUAAACUUCAUGAGCUGCCUGCCGGGAAGGCAAUCAGCACUAAUGGAGUGACUGAGCCUGUCUUGCUCCUGCUGCCAUCAUAUUGUCAUGGUGGAGCUUUGCUGUUUGCUUCCAGCUGGGAUAGGAAGGAAAAGCCAGAGGACCUGGCAAGCUCCAAUGAAAGGUGAGUAUUGUCAGAUAAAGAACAUUAGGAGAAGAACUCAUUUUUUGAGUUUUGAGCUCUGUACCUUACAUCAGCUCCUGUCAUACCUCUGUGAUGGAGAGCUGGGCACAAUGUAGGGUCUUCAGCACUGACGACAGAAGGAGUAUGGCAAAGUUUCAAUUACUUGUUUUUGCUAAUGGUUUUGUUUCUCAAGGAAAAUAAUGACAAAAAGCCAAAUUCUUCCAGUAGUCUACACACAUGUUCACCUUACAGGCCAAUUAACAGGCAAAUAUUUUAGCUUCAUUACUUUAUGCAGCAUGUUAGAGGCUUUAAUGCCUUACUGAUGUUUUAAUCAUAGUUCCCUCUGUACAACCUUCGACUUAUGAGCACAGUUAACUACAUAAAAAUUUUAAAUUUGCAAAAUCAGGCUUGGGGAUUAAAAGGCAGGACUGUCAGCCAUGUCCCUGAGGAUUGUCUUAUUUUUGUAAAUCUGCCUGGAGGGGUUUCAAAAGCUUCUUUUCUUUCUUAUCUUCACUUGCAAACCUAGUGAUCGUUUUGAUUUUUUUUUUAUGCUUGAGUUUAUAAACUCCCAGACUUCCAGAAAAGAGAGUUUCUUUAAAACCACGUGUCCUCAGUAAUAAUAAUUUAUAGGAGGAAAAUGUAGAAAGCCUGUGAUCCAGAAGCAGAAUUGGUUUUCUUUUCAGCGCUCUCUCACUGUCAAACAUUACACAUAAAAAAUUAAUCCCUAUAAUUUCAGUUGUUCCUAUGGAACUAGAAUUUUAACUAGCGACCAAGUAUUUCUACAAUGCCUACUCAUAACGCAGUUCAGUGACCCGCUUAUGAUCAGGUUAACUAUCCUUAUGCUUCCUAAUUGCAUUCAAGGACAAUCUGUGGUGAAAGUCAGCCCUUCACAAAAAGCUGGCAGCUUCAUCUCUUCUGGGAGAAGGAGCCAGGCUCUGAUGGUCACUUCCUGUCAGCCAUCUGCUAGCAGCACAACAUGCCAUCUAGCAUUGCCUAUGGAAAUGUAUAUGCAUGUGUGCAAGCACAUGACAUGCACAAACAAAUAGAUCUGCACAUAAACUGGAUAGAAUUAUCCUUGUAAGGUUUAUUCUCUGAGGCUAUUGCCUCAGAACAACUUUAUGUUUGAUCACAGGCAUUUGAACUGUCUGAGCAAAGCAGAGCGACGCUGCGUGGCACCACUUUGUGCACAUUGCCCUACCUGCUUUCCCUGCAUGCCCCUCCAGCGUGCCUCCCAUAGAGAAGGAGGUGGAAGGCUUGCCUGGCUGCCAAGGGCACAGUGCUCCAGAAGAGCUAGUCAAGGUCAAGGGGUCUGUGUGACUUGCAUGAGCAGAUCAGGAAGAUCCUUGGUGGACAGAUGCUGUAGAAAGUACUCACGUGAGAAAACUGGGCUUUGAAUCCUGCCUAAUGUUGCCCUAUGCCUAACAGAUUGUCUAAAUACAUAAAUGGCUUUUUGUCCAUGCAAUAAUUAUAGCCAUUAGCAAGGGAUGGGCAAUUAUGGUAAGUAACAUAAUUAUCUCAAAUUCAGAGGUGAAUGCAUGUGACAGUAGAGAAGCAGUAGGAUAUUUAGUAUUUGUCUAGAAGAAAACAGACAACCGAGAAAUAAAUUAGCAGUGAAAUGCAAAGAGAAACUUUAAUGCAAAAAUAUCUGUAAUGUUUCACAAAAGCCCAGUGGCUCUCCAACCCAUGAUUAUCAUGGGUAUAAUGGUUUCAUACAUAACUAAGUCUGGCUGCACACAGUGGAAUUGAUUUUACCUUGUAUGUAUCUGCUCACUUUCCUUCAGUAAAAAACUCUCCCUUUUGAACAGAAGAGAAAAGGGAGAGCAUGAGCUGUUGCAGUUUUUCCUCACAAUUUGCACUCUCUUAUGAAAUCUGCAUUAUAGCAGCCCAGAUAGCAAGCAAGAAAUGGGUGCUUAUACCAGUGUACUGUUCCUUGUUAAAAAGACAGACUCUCUAGGAGGGUUGUAAUACAGGAAGUUCAGAGCAAAGAAUAGUAAAUAAAAUGUUUCCUGAUUGGAUGUGUUGUCUUUGGUUGCUAUAACUUGUUACUGGUUUGUUUUUUUCUCAAAGGUAGAAAUUCACUUCCACAGUUUUUGCAAAGAUAUUUGGCCAAUCUUUCUCCUUGUAUAAGGAAUUUUUUCUAUGCAUCUCUCUUCUUUAUGAUGGGAUGACAUCUGCUCCAUACUCAUCCAAACCCACUAAGUCCCCUCUGCACUGGUAUCAGGGAAUGACAUUACUGGCAGUGGAUGCUGAGCAUUAGGGUAGGAAAUGAAGCUGGCUCAGGAUGAAGAGGUUGUGAUGUAUGAAUGGAUGUUACAGGACUCAAGUGAGGCAACAUCUGGACCUGGAUUAAAAGAGCAGUUUAAUUACUCAGCACCAUUCAAAUGAACCAUUAAAAGACAGACAGUACUGAAAUAAAAGGAAAAAUCGCUGUGCAGAAAAAUUAAGCUUUUAUACCACUAGUCUGUUUUGCCAUCGACAGUGCUGCUUCAUUCCUCAGAGGAUUUUGUCAGCCAGUGCCAUACGACUUGUCAUCACUUGUCAGCCUUCUUAGGCUGAGGUAUGGGCAGACAUGGCAGCAUGGAGCUCUCUAAUUGGCUCGUGAGAAGCUUAGUUAAUGGCUGCAGUGUAGGCAUACCUUCAUUUUGAUUCCCAGAGGCAUGUAAAAUGCUCUGCAAAACAUGCAAUUGACUUUUGCAUAGAAAAUGAUUUCCUUUCUUGAUAUACUUCAAUGAAAACCUUGUUUCAGUUUAGGCUUUCCCACAACAAACUUCAAGCUAACUGUACAACUUGUGGGCCAGAAUGGACAUUUUCAACCUACAAUAAUUCAGCAGACAAAUUUUAAGGCCCAUAAAUGUUUUGUUAGCUGAAGUCAUGUUGCUUUUUUUAGAGAACUUCAACUUAACUGGAUGAGUCUCUUGACUUGUGAACAGCCAGUAAGAUUCCAUAAUCUUUAUGUGCUUCUGGGAGCUGAAUGAAAGCACCAGGUGUACAUCAUUGGUGAGUCAGUACUAGUGGAAAGUAAUUAAUAAUGGUAAGUGAACAAUUUAAAACCUACUGUUAAGAGAUGCUCAAAAGAAAAUAGUACAGUUCUUCACUAUAGAGGCUCAAAGAACUGCAGUUGCUACUGACAGAUGAGCUUUGCUCCAGGAUCCUCUUAAACAUCCGUGUAAAAAAUGGUGGACCCAGUUGCAAUGUUUUUAGGAAUUAAAAGACUGAAUUAGACAGAUACCAUUGUCCAAUAGUAUGAGAAGUACAGAAGCAUUGCAUAAACAGCCAGGGGUCAGCUUCAUUCCUUCUUUUUAUUUGAAUUGCAUAGCUCAGGAAACUCAGCAAUGUGGAAUUCAUCCCUUCUAUUGAUAGACUUGACUGAAUAAAACUUAUGGUAUGUAUGAACUUGCUUCUUCUUACAUGUGACAAAGCACAGGUUAGAAAUCAAUUAAUACUGUGAUGUAUUUACACAUUACAUUUGCCCCCCUUCAGCUGUUUCCCUAAAAUAUAAUGUGUACAUCAACUUUGUACUGUCAGAAGAGAAUUACUGGGCUAUAGAUUCAGACUUGAAGAAAGCAAAUAUCCUGGAAAUGUUGUGUUUGUAGAGGAGCGCCACCAUUCUCCUUGAAUAGGAUCAACAGCAGGAAAAGGUGGGGUCCAGCUUGAGAUGUCUAUAAGCCCCUGUGUCUGCUGAGAGCUGAGUCUUCAAAGUCAUCAGCAUUGAUCAACAAGGCUAGAAGAUACACAUAUUUGGAGCUGAGGCAGGUAAUGCUGUUAACUUCAAGAUGCUGGUAAAACUUAUGUUAGAAACCUUCCCAUUACAACACCUGAAUUCAGAUUCUACUGAAGUGUAGGGAAGUUCAAAUUUCUGGUAGCUUCUCAACUUUUCAUCUUUAGAAAAUAGAUAAGCCAACACCAAUAUCCAGAAUCAGUUAUUUUAAAGGACUGUAGAUUGAAUGAAAUCUUUAUGGACUAGGCUAGUCUUUAUACCCAGGAGCAAAGCUGUAUCAUUAGGUUAUCACGAACAGGACUGAGCCUGAGCACAGAUAAAGGACUGACGUAAACCCUCAGAUGAAUGAAAGCAUGUAGAGCUUUCUGAAUUAAAAACAGAAAUAAAAAUGGGUCAAUGAAAAUAGUUAUCCAAGCUAGAAGAAGGGCUAAACACAGGGGAUUAAGCAGGCUGGAGAGGCUACGGAUGUGUGACCCAGUCAAGUGUGACAGACCCUGCAGCUGCUAUUACUGGAAAUGAGCUACAGCUGUGCCAAACUCCAUGGGCAAAGCAAGGAAGGGAGGUUCCUGAAAAAGUUACUGGGUGCAAACUCGCACAGCUUUUUUGCUGUCCAUGUUUUCUGGUUUGCCUGUUUGCUGUUUUUCGAUUAACCUCUCCCUUGCAUAUAAGAGUUCAGCAAUUGUCUGAAGACUGAAGCCAUGGUACCUGUAGCCUGUCACCAUGCAGUUAAGUAGGUGUUGAGAGAUGGUGGCAUGUGAAGUAUGCAACACAGAGGUGAACAGAGAUAAAACCUCAGUAAAUUGCCAUAAGAUGCACUAACAUGAAGAACCGUGAAGAGCAGCAUAGGGUUAAGAGUAUACAGAUUCCUCUGAUAUCCUCACAGUAUCAUUUGACUUUGCUUCUGCGCUGCCUAUCUAUUAGGUGUUCUCUUCCUUGAAGCAUAGUUUUGUGAUUAUUCAGUGCUAUUAAACACAUUUAACUGGUGAUCUUUGGGCCUGUACUUGCCCCUGAUGGAAAAAAAAAGUAUCCAGUGAUUGCACAGAUUCCUAAUGGUAGUUUAAGGUAAAAAAAAACCAAACAAACAAACAAAAAAAAGUUUUCUGAUUUUUCCGUUUUUUAAUCUACUAAAUGUUUAAUGUGAAAUAUGUAGUCAUUUCUGGAAUCAGACUCCAUUUGGUUUCUUCCCUGUCGACUUUGGCUGACCUUCUUACCUGCUCAUCUUUUUGUUCCUGUCUGCAGAGUGGCUCAGACUGUAGGCCAUGUGAAAUUAAUUCUAUUUUAAUUUGCAUUGCUUGCAGCCCAAGUUGUGAAUUGGAGUCUCCUGGGUGCCUGUGAACAAAGCAGCAGGCAUGGGGAUGCCUUACUUGGGAAAGGAAGUCCCAGGUGGGAGUGAGAGCUAGCCCUGUGCAAGCAGGGUUGUUGGUCCUGCUGGUUUGCUCAAGGCCAGAAUGAGGAGCACAUGUGCUGAGUUAUUCUGCAAAAGUUAGUGUGCCAUGCUUAACACCCUCCUCUCUUUGUGGACUCAUUUUUAAGUUUAGCAUGUGGGGGUCUUAGACCAUUGGAUUUUCCUUGCUUUGAGUGUAAGUCAUGACAAAAAUGAAGUGAGUGCAGAAUGCAUGGCUUCUCAUGUCAGAGAGGGAUAUUUGCUCUUCUAUAGACUGCUGUCUAUUGAAUGAAAGGUUGAAAUGGAGGGCAGGUUUGCUCAAUGCAACUUUUCAGCUAACUUUUGAUUAAUUCCCACCUUGAGUGCCUAAGGCCACAGUCCAUAUUACUCUGUGUUUAUUUGUGGCUUAUGUUUACGGCUUAAGUGACAAAGUUUGAUUCAUCUGUCUGGUUGGCAGAAAAUAUCUUGCAAAUAUAAGGUUGAAGUACAGGCAUUCCUUUGCACUCUGCCCAGAAGUGGUUAAUUUCCACAGUUCUUUUCAGAGAUGCUACAUUAUGCCUGUUCAGUGGAACAGGUGUAAUCAGGAAGACAUUUUAAUAUGCAAUAACUGCUGCUGAGGAAAGUAAUAUUUGCUCUUAUAUUAAACCAGGUAGGUAUGUUCUGAGCCAUAGCAACAAGCCCUUUUAAGCAUGUCUAAUGACUGUCAGUGGCAUGAUGUCCAGGAAAUGGUAAUGUUUGCUCAAAGGCAGUCACAUUUCUUCAUCUCUCUGAUUUUGCCAUAGUUUUUCUAAUGCACGCAUAAUUACACUGUACUUACUGAUAAAAACUAUUUGCAGACAGAACAACCUGUAAUCAUAGCAAUUGCUGGUCAUUGUGACUUAAAACUUCUACAAACUUUGAGGCAGUACAGUAGAGAGGAACAACUUGAAUAAAUUGAGUACAGGCUAAAUUUGAUUUUGUAUUGGCCAUGGAGAAAGAAAGAAACUGUGUGAAUAUUUCACAGCAAAUAUCUCAGGCUGCUGCAGCUUGCUGACAGGCACUUCCCUUCCACCACCUGCACUUUUCCAUUCCAAUUUCAGAGCUUGAGCUGUGCUUUUGCCUCUGUGCUGGUCUCAUAGAGGGCAUAUUGGCAGCUGCCAGGACUUGAGAUGGCUUGGUAGCCCUCUGCAAGGAUUAUGAAAAAGUGAACAUUUUAAUACAUGUACCCAACGAUACCAGUUUCCUUAAAGGCUUUCCCGACCAGCUCAUGUCAGCCCUGAUUUGUGCUAAGAACUUCUUUAUUUUAGGUAUGAAGGUACAUGUCUCCUUUUAGAUCGUGCACAUUUUUAGUGAGAAGGAAAGGUGUGAAGGGAUGUCCUUGUGUUCAGUGGGGCUCUCCCGUCACCGCUGAUGCACUGGAAACAGUCCUUGGCAAGACAAAUUUUUACUCCUAGGUAAUAAAAAGUCACAUUGAGAGCACUGUCACAGCUUUUAGUUAGUACAAUUCCUGAUACAGCCAAAACCUUUCUCUGGAGCAGAUCCUCUGGUCCCUCCUCAUGAUGAGGGUGUAGCCUUAUGCAGGAUUGCAUCCAAAUUCAGUGAGAGAUUUUCCAUUGCCUGCAGUGGCCUCUGAAAGGGGCCCAAGGGUGAAAUCAAUGAUGUUUCUUGCUCCACAGUCCCAAGAGCACAAACAAAUUCUACUGAAGUGUGUAUGAGACAUCUGCAUCCUGUGGGAGCACACUCAAUGUUGCACUGACAAAAGAGCUCAGCUAAUAAAGUGGCAGGCUCCUUGCUGUAUGAGUGAUAAUAGCAAAAACAUUCCUGAAGCAGAUCUUACCCUUCUUCAAAUGAAAUUUUUGUGUACUGAAUAUCCGGAGGUACGAAUUAAAUGCUAACAGAUUAUUAAUUUAUGAAGCAGCCUUGGAGGAUUUAUGCUGCAAGGCUCUCUGGGUUCUAAACUGGUUACUCUUGGCACCCUGGCUUGUCUGAGCCAUUUCUGUCAAAAAAUGCCUUCAUAUGGCUGCUGAGAUUGCUUUAGAAUUGAUUAUGUAGUUCAAUAUAGCCAAAAUAAAUAAAAUAUUUUAAAAUUUCAAUAACAGUAGGAUUGACAUUUGCAAGAGCAAUGAAAAGCCAAGGGAAAAUCUGAUAUUGGGCAAGACAGCUCUCAUGUCCAACCUGGGAGCUCUCCCCAGGCUGCAGAUAAGUGCUGGUGCCUCACGUGUUCACGCUGCAGAAGCAGGCAGCUUCAAUGUGACUAAGAGGAACAGCAAGCACAGCUUUCUGCCUUGCUGUGUGCCUGCAAAGAAAAUUUCUACAGCAGUUAUGUAGUUGAGUAAAUUUAUUUUAUGAAAUACUUAUGAGAUGUGAUUUAACUGCACUGACAUUGAAAAAUAACUCCUGUUCUUUCCCUUGUUUUAUGUAAGAGGGAGUUUUGAGGCAGAUAUAUUUUUGCAUGGUGCAGCUUUUUUUUUUCUUAAUGGUCAUUUCCUAAUCAGGACUCAUGUGCCCCUAUCUCUUAAGAGUUCCAGAAUCUUGGAAAGUCCACAGUACUUCAAAAGCUUGAUUUUUCCUUAGUGACACCAAGGGAAUGUAGGAAAAAUCUAAAAUCCCCCAGAUUAGAAAGUAUCCUAGGAAUACACAUUUUUCUGACUGGUCCUUGUCAUCAGAUGUCUUUAUCUUCAGCUGCAGUUCUCUGAGAGAUACUGGGGUUUGCAAGUUGCAGAGAAAUGUCUUAGUUCAAUUGCACAGUCUUGACAGUUAGGGAUUUGGAAUUUGCUUCAAGUCUUCACGAAAAAUCUUUCUAGCAAUUUAACCUUUAUCUAAAAACAUUUCCUCAGAAGGAAUUACAAAGGGAUUUAGGACUGAAUUCAUAAAUAAAUUAGCAGUCGUGAUCAGAAGUCUCCUUCACAGUUGCUCAUAGACAUGGGAUUUAAUUUUACAUUUUGUACCAAAAAGCUGUCUAAGCUGACUAAGAAAGGUGCUUCCCAGCUGCUGGGAGGACUUGGCCUUGCUUGUAUGGUGUGACUGAUUCAUAGCUCAGGGUGAGAGACUUCUGCACUUAACUGUGGCAGGACAAGUCGGAGCUCCUGCAGCCAUCUCAAAGCUUCUCCAAAUGGAGGCAAAUCUCUUUGUUUCCCCAAAGAUGGAUGUAUGGGGCUGAGCUGAAGGUACAAGACAAGGGAUUUUAGAAGAAAGAUGUGGGAACAUCUCUAAAAAAUCUAUCUUAGCAUGAAUUCUUUUUAGGCAGUGCGAUGGGAGAGAGCUUAGAUCACUAUUCUGUUACAUGGCUUAGUAGAUGUGUUUUGGUAUCUCAUCUUGACAGUUGGACUUGACAACCUAGGAGGUCUUUUCCAGCCAAAAUAAUUCUGUGAUUCUAUAAUUUCCAGGGCAAUAACAGAAAAACCUGUUUUUUCUGGGCCCUGGAAAAAGUGAACUAGAAUACAGCCAGUUACUUAUCCUGUCAUUAUGGUUACUGGUACAACCACCUGGACCUAUGAAUAGUCGUAGAGCUCACCUGUGCUACUCUGCUAGCAUCUUGCAGUCAAAAUUAGCAAAUGCCACACUUCUGCUUGACAGGCUAGUUUCUUUCUCAAGUCCUUUUCAUUCUUCUUGGUUUGGACACCCUUAGUACAACAAAUAAACAAAAUACCUAAUCACAAUGGUGCUGGUAUGUUCUGUAUUGUGCCUGCUGACAGCUGGAAAUGGAACUGAAACCACUCUCCCAUUCUGCACAGUGGAUUAAAACAGCAGGCAAUAAAAUUAGUCAUGCUCAUCACGAGGCUGGUGUUUAAUUAAUGACCUAGCAGCAAAAGGCUCCCAGCUGAUCAUUACAACAGCUUCUAGAGAUUCCUUCAGCACAGUUUGCUGUGUAAGACUAUUGACAUGCAGACAGUGUGCAAACUGACUGGGAAAAAUGAAGUGGUGUCAAGAAUGUUUUGGCUGUAUUAACUCUGAAUAUGUCCUUGCUGCCCUGGGAUUUUGGUCUAAAACACAAUAUUGUUUGAAGGUAGUCUGUAGCUUUCAAUAACAAAUUCCAAUAAAAGGAAAGGAAUAGAAUACUAGCAGCCAAUAGUUGUAAUUUGAAAGAAGACUGCAAAAAAUAUAUUUUGCUUGCUUAUUUUAAAGGUAGAAUUUAAGGAAUUUAAAUUUUGUUCUUAAGUCCUAAAGAUAAUCAGAGAAAGCCUUGUAUACCCACUGGCUGAUUUAUUAGAAAAUUAGAUCAGCAUGCUGCCAAAUAUUCAGAUUUUGGACAUGUUUUCAUAUUGAUUCUUGUGAUGAAAAUCACAGAUGUAUCAAGGACACAUCCCACAGUAUUUAUCUGCACCUGAUAUGUAAUGAGUUCCUUACCUCUGCAUCUUAAAGGAAUGCUAUUUUUCUCUGGUAAAAAUUAAAAAUCUCCUUCCCAUUACAGAGGUACAGAGGUAGAGGAUUUGGGAAACUAAACUUAUGGGAUUCUGACCUUCUUAGUCUUAUACUCUUUGUUGGAGGACUGACUCACAAUCAUAGCAAUAAAUUUAGCAUUAUUUUAUUCGAUUUAGAGCCCUUGCUUCAGAAAUAGAGAUGAUGUCUUAGUAUUAUUCUCUAAAGAGAAUCUAGCCUUAUGCUGAAAGUAUGACAUUUUUUCUUUUAUUUAUUUUUUUGAAUUGACAAUGUGAAACAUUUGUACAAUAAGGAGAAAUAUUUCAUUGAAAGGCCUUUUCAUUACCUGCUGCUCAGCAGUUUGCAUUUAUGCACAUUCAUUUUUAACACCUCCAUUUUCAAGUUAGAAUAGAGUUGUUGGAUUGAGAGUUAUUCUGCUUCAGGAGGACUCAUAUCCUUCUGAAUAGCAACAGAAGUAAAGCACAGAGAAACCCAGGUGCCAACCUAAGCUUUGUUCAAUAAAUACAGCUCACAGUCAGCACUAUAUACCCUGUUUCUGAAAACCAGGCCAUGGAUUAUCCAAUUAAAUGCUCACCUUUGAAAGUUAAGAUGAUUAUUCCAUCUUCUAGUUCUUAAAAAAACUCGAGGGAACUGCUUUUCUUGGUAGCUCAGUCGUGCCUUCAUUUCUCCUGAGUCAGGAGUUGUGUGAAGCUGACUGAAACAGACAUUUUCCACUUGUCUUGUCAAUUCCAUUAGGAGCUUUAGCCCCCUAGAGGGAAUCAAUGCACGAAUUAACCAAAGAUUUAUGAAUCCCCAAAGGGAUAAUUUAAGGCUGUAUUAUGGUACAGUGGAUUUUAAUUCUAGCUGAGAAAAUUUGCUCCUCUAACUUUCAUAUUUGAUUUUCUUCUUGUCAGAAUAUACAAGAAUUAGAUGAUUUUUCACCCCCCCCCCUCACCCCCCCACUCACCCCCCCACUCCAUAAAAGGCCUCCCAGAAAACUUCCUUCAGGGAUUAUAAAGAAAAUUACAAAUGGAUUUGGAUGAUUUUAUUUCAAAAUCUAUAUUGAAAGAACAAGUGAUAUUCUUUAAUGUCAAAUUUUAAAGAUAGGAAAACUACCUGCUAGCAUCAAGCAUGAGGGUUCAGUGAGUAGAGCAGCUUGUCAUCUGGUGUAAAUCAGCACUACUGUAUUGAAGGAGACAAGCUCAGUUGAGCCAUAUUGUUUACAGUAAAUGAAAACCUAUCCUACUAUUUCUCAGUGCCAUUAGGCAGGCUGAGAAAUGAUCAGAUGGCAUUCAGGCACAGAAUGAAUCUAACUCUUCCUCCAAUCCCAUGCUCUGGUUUGCUACCUUGUUGUCUCUUAAUUUCUGUUUCCUUUUAGGAGCUGCUAACUUUGCUGUUAUUGCUUCCUUUCUGCCUCCGCUGCUUUUACAUUCUUUGGAUGAGCCCUUAGGGACACAGUAUUUUUGUUAAGUUUUCUGAUCUUAUAGUAAACCCCCAUCUUAGCCUUUGUUUAUCAAUUAUUUGAUAUUCAUUUACAUAAUGUGAUUUUGAUCACAUGGAAUUUGUUUAGCAUUUGGUGAGUGUUCCACAUCUAAUUACUACCACAUGUUAUAAUUCACUGUCAAGUGAAUGAGCCUUUCAAAUAUAACAAUGCAGAAAUAACUAAUGGGACCCUGCUGAGCCUAAUUUGUUUGGAAAAAACUGGAAUUGAAAGACUUGAGAAAGGGAACUGGCUUUCUAGCCAAUUAAAUGGCACAUACAGCGUUGGCUCUCCUUACAUCAGGCUGUUAGGAUGAGAUGCUUAGGAUGACAGUUUCAAGAACAGCAGAGAAGGAAUGGCAAAGCAUUGGAUUUUUGCUGCUUUGUACACUGUCACCCAUUUCCAGUCUGGCAAAUACUUCAUGAAACUUUAUUCAAGUGAAAAUUGGAAGACUGGUAUUUGUGAUUAACUGGACAGGGAUGAUGACUAGGAUUAUCAUUACUAUUGUUCAUAGAGCAUUUUACAGACAGUAAUGAAAUAAUUGCCUCAGAAACCUGAUUGCACGCACUCAGUAUUCAAAUAAAGGGGAGAACUGAACGGUGGCUUCUUCCACUCAUCUCAUGUGUUCUGUUGACCCACAAGAAAAUCUGUUCUCUCUGACUUUAACUUGUUUAGUCAGUCUGCAUUUUUACAGUGGAAGAGCUAUCCUUCAUAGACCUUUAAAUAGAUAUGUAAGAAGUUCAAGAGAAAAUAGUAUUAUGUCAAUCAGGAGGGAAUGUUAGAGGAAAUUAUUGGGUGAGAAGGAAAACAUGGAACAAAAGUUUUGGAAAACAUGGCAAAGAAGUUUGGUGGCAUACAUGACUGGAAAGAAGGAGCUAUUGCAAAAGAGAUGGAAAGCAGGAAACAUGAGAAAGACUGUGAAGAUAAUCAGAAAGAAAAACAUAGUCUGGUGAAAGACUUUUCUAGAGAAAUUAUGGAAGACUGUUAAGGACUCCUAUACACACAGGAUUUUAGUAUCUAUAUGAGAAACACAAUCUGAAUAUGGAGAUGCUAGACGAAGAGGAAUUGGCAGCAGAUUACAGGAGAAAUAAUCAGAAUUUGAAUAUGCUGCUCUUUAUCAUGGAAACACCGUGAAAUACCAGUACGACACAGGCAUUAUUCUGAAGAAUUCUGAAGCAUAGAAUCAAAUCUGGUGUCUGCCAACCUUGGAUGUACCUUGAUUUUUGAACCAUUAUGGCAGUGCUCUUUGAAGCUUUGAACAACUUCCAGCAGUAAUGCGGAAACAAACAUACCAAAAACAUACAGGAAAUGCAUAACAAGAGCAAAGAUUUAAAUAUUCUUGUGUUUUCCUUUUAAGAUGUCAUAAUUAAAGCUGCUCCUUUGGCUGAAAAGAAAAAAAAAAAGGCAAGCUGACAAUUUCUUUUUAAGAUUUG